rnacentral:rRNA from 1 species
AGAGUUUGAUCCUGGCUCAGGAUGAACGCUGGCGGCGUGCCUAACACAUGCAAGUCGAGCGAUCUUCUUCGGAAGAGAGCGGCGGACGGGUGAGUAACGCGUGGGUAACCUGCCUCAUACACAUGGAUAACAUACCGAAAGGUAUGCUAAUACAAGAUGAUAUAAGAGAUUCGCAUGGAUUUCUUAUCAAAGCUUUUGCGGUAUGAGAUGGACCCGCGUCUGAUUAGCUAGUUGGUAAGGUAAUGGCUUACCAAGGCGACGAUCAGUAGCCGACCUGAGAGGGUGAUCGGCCACAUUGGAACUGAGACACGGUCCAGACUCCUACGGGAGGCAGCAGUGGGGAAUAUUGCACAAUGGGCGGAAGCCUGAUGCAGCAGCGCCGCGUGCGGGAUGACGGCCUUCGGGUUGUAAACCGCUUUCAGCAGGGACGAAGCGUGAGUGACGGUACCUGCAGAAGAAGCACCGGCUAACUACGUGCCAGCAGCCGCGGUAAUA